rnacentral:rRNA from 1 species
UAGUGGCGAACGGGUGAGUAACACGUGGGCAAUCUGCCCUUCACUCUGGGACAAGCCCUGGAAACGGGGUCUAAUACCGGAUAUCACUCCUGCAGGCAUCUGCGGGAGUUGAAAGCUCCGGCGGUGAAGGAUGAGCCCGCGGCCUAUCAGCUUGUUGGUGAGGUAAUGGCUCACCAAGGCGACGACGGGUAGCCGGCCUGAGAGGGCGACCGGCCACACUGGGACUGAGACACGGCCCAGACUCCUACGGGAGGCAGCAGUGGGGAAUAUUGCACAAUGGGCGAAAGCCUGAUGCAGCGACGCCGCGUGAGGGAUGACGGCCUUCGGGUUGUAAACCUCUUUCAGCAGGGAAGAAGCGAAAGUGACGGUACCUGCAGAAGAAGCGCCGGCUAACUACGUGCCAGCAGCCGCGGUAAUACGUAGGGCGCAAGCGUUGUCCGGAAUUAUUGGGCGUAAAGAGCUCGUAGGCGGNUUGUCACGUCGGGUGUGAAAGCCCGGGGCUUANCCCCGGGUCUGCAUUCGAUACGGGCUAGCUAGAGUGUGGAAGGGGGAGAUCGGGAAUUCCU